rnacentral:rRNA from 1 species
GACGAACGCUGGCGGCGUGCCUAACACAUGCAAGUCGAACGCUACACUCCGGUGUAGAGUGGCGAACGGGUGGGUCAUACAUAAAGAACCUCGCAUGUACAGGGGAAUUACCGGUGGGAACGUCUGAUAAGACAGCAUAUCUGUAGAGAUAGGAUGUACUGCAUAUGAAAGGGGCUACGGGACUGUCGGAUGUUGGACUUGUAGUGGAUUAGCUUGUUGGUGGGGUAACGGUCUACGAAGGCGACGAUGCGUAGCCGACCUCAGAGAGUGACCGGCCACACGGGAACUGAGACACGGCCCAGACUCCUACGGGAGGCAGCAGUCGGGAAUCUUCCGCAAUGGGGGAAAGCCUGACAGAGCAACGCCGCGUGAAGGAAGAAGGAAUUCGGUAGGGAAAGUGCUGUAAUAGGGGGAGAACUGAGGUUAUAGGAAACGAGAUGCAAGUGACGGUACUGGAUAAGAAAGCCACGGCUAACUACGUG